rnacentral:misc_RNA from 1 species
AUCGGCUUCUGUUUUCGCUUUCAUAUAACUUUAAAAUCUUUCCUUGAAGCAAGAUGAUGCGCCGUGUGAUCGCCCAGCCCGUCGCCCGUCGCGCGGCGGCCGCCUCCAGUGCGCUCGUGGUUGCCCCUCGCCAGGCCUCCACUGUCGCCCUCUCCGUCCAGGGCCUGCACUACGUCGGCACCGGUCUCGCCGCCAUCGCCCUCGGUGGUGUUGGCUUGGGUAUCGGUGCCAUCUUUGGCUGCCUGCUGAUAGGCUGCGCUCGCCAGCCCAACCUGACCAAGAUGCUCUUCAACUACGCCAUUCUCGGCUUCGCCCUGACGGAGGCCAUUGGCCUGUUCGCGCUGAUGCUCGCCUUCCUCAUGCUCUUCUCGUAGGGUACUUGACGUCUGCGUGAUAAUUCCGUAGCAGCAACGAAGACAGACAGAAAAGGAACUCCUCGGGGGCGGCCGUGAGGCAGAACACCGUCGGGGUAGGGCGAGGGACGAGUAAUGCCGCAAACGGUGGGCGACGAAGACAUGAGAGGAGAAAGCGACUGCCGAGUGAAUCGACCGUGUCGGCAUCUUCUUCACGUUCGCUGCUCGCGCGUGCUUGCCGUGAGUCUGCCACUGCUCAUCCCUCUCCCUCAGCAGUGGUCUUGCGUGCCACAUUUCACCCCGCCCCGCCUCCCCCCCGACCUCUCCGUGUGUCCACAAGCUCCCCUUUACGUAUAGCCCUCCCUCCCUCUCUCCUCUCUCUCCCUGUCUGUCUAGGGUGCCUUGUGCCGGGAGGGAGGCAUGUCCGCGUGACGCUGUGCACGUGCGUGUGUGUGUCUCCGUAGCGGGUGCGUGCGGGGUGGCUGGCAGUGGCACUCUUCUUCGUUGUUUCUUUUUUUGUUUCGUUCCCUUGUGUUAGCCGUUUUCGUAUUCCUUUCGUGUGCCUCUGUUUAACCUAGCGGAUCUUCCCUCUCAGCGAAGUGGUGACGCGGAGGAAGGGGGAGACAGGGACGGUGCGACCGGAGGCCAGCCGGGAAGGAGUCCGGCACGCCGCCCUUGUGUGACGCCCGCCGCGGCGGCUGUGGGCACUGCUCGUCUCUCUUCCCAUCUAUCCUUCUCCCUGGCAACUGUAUCUCUCCCUCUUGUUGUCUUGCCUUCUCUGUUGAUGCGUGUGUUGAGGGUGCCUGUGGUGUCGCUGAGAGCGACACUACACAGAGCAUCGUAAGCGAAGGGAAAAUCAAAAAAAAAAACGUGAAGAACACCGGAUUGCGGCGGAGGCUUUCCCCACUAGCUGGCGCCGCGAGGAAGGAGCGCCGCAGCUCCCGUGUGGAGUAUGGUGAGAUGGCAUGUUGCCGUGUGCGAAUCCCUUUCCCGCCCUCUCGCGUCUCUUCCUGAUUGCCUCAGUGCACCCAGCUCCCCGCGGCUGCGCGAAAAAGGGGCUUUGUGGACGCACCAAGACGGAAGCCCACGUGUGCUCACCGUCGUUCCCAUUUGUGCUCUGCAUCUUAGGCGGCGAGCGCGCACUGUUUUUUGCCCUAUAAUGCUGAUGACUGCGGCAGGAAUGGCGCUGUGAGAGACGGCUCUACCUCACCCUCACCCCAAUCAUUCUACUCCACGUAUGUGUGGCUCUCUUUCGGUCUCUGGUGAUGAUGACGCCCGGUUUCCUUUUGUUGUCUGCGUGCACGCUGCCCCCACGCUCCACCUCACAUGUGUGCACGCCGUCACACCUACGAAG